GGUAGUGUGGCCGAAUGGCACUGGAUUUAGGCUCCAAUCUCUUCGGAUACAUGGGUUCGAAUCCCACCAUUGCCA
rnacentral:tRNA from 1 species